AACGAACGUUGGCGGCGUGGAUUAGGCAUGCAAGUCGAACGCGAAAGGGUAGCAAUACCCGAGUAAAGUGGCGAACGGGUGAGUAACGCGUAGGAAACCUGCCUUCGAGAGGGGGAUAACACUCCUAACGGGGUGCUAAUACCGCAUGACACUGCGGAGUCGCAUGGCUCUGCAGUCAAAGGUGGCCUCUAUUUAUAAGCUACCACUCGAAGAUGGUCCUGCGUCCCAUUAGCUAGUUGGCGGGGUAACGGGCCACCAAGGCGACGAUGGGUAGCCGAUCUGAGAGGAUGACCGGCCACACUGGGACUGAGAUACGGCCCAGACUCCUACGG
rnacentral:rRNA from 1 species